CAUUUUCUAAAGCAAAUACUUCUCAGGAAGUGGCUCUCCUCUUUUUUUUUUCCUAUGAAGCUCUUUUCUUAAAAGCUUACUUUAACUGCAAAAAGUUCCCCUGUUCAUGGAGGAAGAAAAUCAGGCUUGCUGGGUGAGACGACAGAAUAGGGCUUGCUGUAAUUCUCUCCUGGAGGCAGGCUUUCUCUCUGGCUCUCUGUUCCCCCUUCCCCAUCCUCUGUGAAACCACUUCAAGGAUGGCUCAAGCUGCGCUGAUCCUUGAGGCGCCAACAGCCUAAGCUGUCAGCAUCUUCUCCAGAGCCUGGAAGUAGAGGCCUUGUCACUUUUUGGUAUAAAAGUUUUGGGUUAAGAGGUGCCAGCAGCAGAAACAUAUGUUCAAGGAUGAAGGUAAGUCUGUCUUCACAAAUGACUGAUCCUGAAGAUGGACCGGCACCUCCAGGCCCAGGUCCCCGCAGAAUCAGGUGAUGGGUCCCCAAAACACAAAUGGUGGCACAAUGAGAAAUCUGAACACAAAUGGUGGCACAAUGAGAAAUCUGGUGGUGGGCUUGGACGAAAUGGUGUGGAUGCUGGGUGGUCUCUUGCUUUCACCUCUGUGGCGGGCACUGCUGAGGUGCUGGGUCCCUGGGCCUUUUCUUGGCUCUGAGCCAUCUGGUCAGGGAAUGGGUAGGAAGCUGGCUUACAUAAAACAGUCAUGUCCCUGAGAAGGCUGUGUGGGCCCCAGCAGGCAGGUGGGUUGACCUGGGAGCAGCGCCUGCAAGGCUGGCACUUGCACACCAUCCCGUUACACAGAGCCUUCCUGCGGUUCCUGAGUGUGGUGGGGAUCCCCCCGCCACAGCUGGCAGCCCCAUGUCUCCUCUGGCUGCACACAGGAUCACUAGGGAACUUUAAAAAGGCACUGAUGCCAGGGCUCCACUUCGGCCAAUACAAUCAGUCUCUCAGGGCAGCACUGGGAGGAGGUGUUUGUGGUGUUUCAUGGACACACACACUGCCAGCAUCAGGGAGUAGUGACGGGGUACUGAGAACAGCAGAAUAUCUAGAAGUGAGUUCUUCGUAACUGUGGAACACAGAAGUCUUCCCUCACAGUGUGGCCCUUGCCCACUACUGCUGGAGGAGAGCGCUAAGGCCCUGGAACACUCGUCCUUACACAGCCAGAGUCUAGUGAAGGCCACAGAGCCACAGCCCACUGCCUUUAUGCACUGAUCCACUCCAUUUUCUCAUUUUUAGAUUGUUUUAACCUUUGAAAGCACAGAUCCCAAUGCAGACGAGCUCCCAAUUCUUGGAGUUCACAGACAUUUGAUCCGUGUUUGAAAAUACCCCAAUCCUUGUGCAGAGUUCCCAGAAUUCCAAGUUUUCCUUUCCCAGGCUUGUUCUUGGAGCUGGCCCAUGAUACUAGCUGGACUCUUGAACAUUCCUGACCCAUCACGGCCACCCUUCGAGGCUUCCGAUUAUGCAGACACACCAUGCCCCCGCACAGUGCUCAAAGUCAGGCUGCCGCAUGCUUCUAUACUAGACAGUCAAAGUCGGAGCCCAGGGCUCAGCAAAGCACCUGGCACAGUGGCGGCUGCAGAAUGAGAUCUGCUUGCCUGGAUGCCAAGGCUGGAGGGCAGUAAGCUUCGGUAUCCUCAGAGGCAGGGGGCUGCCACCUUUGCACUAAGAAGGAAUUCCUGAUUUCUACCAUUUGAGAAAAGGAGAGUUGACCACAUGGAACUCCGAAUAGGUUCAUGCACAUGGAACAAAGCCCUUUGGGAGAAAAGCCCGUUUUUUGCUGUCUGCCUGAUACUGGAUGGUUGAGAAACAAUCGUGGUGGGCAGUCACGCCACACUUGUGCAGGCCUAGGACACAGGAAGGUUUAGCCCUGGCCUACAGGGAGGUGGGCAAGCACAGCAAUCUUGUCCCCCAAAAGAACAUCAGUGGCCGCUGGUGCCAAGACCCACGGGAAGGUUAGAGCUCUGGGUCACAUUUGUGGAGAGAGACACAGACAGCGGCAGAGACAGAGACGUAGUAAUCCAGGCUGUGUGGCAUAAGAAGAUAAAGCGGCCCCCCAGCCCGGGGCCCCUCCCAUGGACCUCGUGGUACUGAGCCUCCAUUUUCUCAUCUGUUCAGUGAGGAUGAAGCCUCACCUCCCAGGGUUUUUGCAAAGAUAGGGAGACUGGCCGGGCGCCGUGGCUCACGCCUAUAAUCCCAGCACCUUGGGAGGCCGAGGCAGGUGGAUCACAAGGUCAGGAGUUUGAGACCAGCCUAACCAACAUGGUGAAACCCCGUCUCUACUAAAAAUACAAAAAUUAGGCAGGCGUGGUGGCACGCGCCUGUAAUCCCAGCUACUCAGGAGGCUGAGGCAGGAGAAUCACUUGAACCCAGGAGGCAGAGGUUGCAGUGAGCCAAGAUUGCGCCACUGCACUCCAGCCUGGGUGACAGAGCAAGACUCUGUCUCAAAAAAAAAAAAAAAAAAAAAAAUAGGGAAACUGUGCCCAAUGCACCAGAAGGUGGUUCCUCGGUGCCUGUGAGUGCCCUUGCCCUCUGCCAAGGGUACUGAGCUACGUGCCCUGUGCCCUUGAUGUGCACUGAGAAUUCACUGCUUGCCACCUUCCGUCCAAUUCUAAUUUCAGCAUUUCACAGCUCACUUUUGAAAUAGCAUCUUUCAUCCCCAAAUGUCUGUGCACAUUGCAGAAAUGAAAACAGCCCCUCUCUGAAGGCAGAAGUGUGAGAUCCGGGUUCUCUGUUUUCCUGGGAAAACAAGAGAUCCAGAAGGAGAGAUGGGGGAGGGGGUGGGAAGGUUUGGGCCUCGAUCAGGCUCAAGUUCAGUGAGCAUGUGUUAAGCUCCUGCUGUGUUCCCUGGGCUUUUGCACACAGGGUGUUAUUCACCUUCCCCGUGGUCCUCUGGGGGAAGGUCAAGGUCCCACUGGCAGCUGAGGAAACGGAGGCUCAGCGAUGUGGAAAUCCCAGCCCAUGUUCACGAGGCAGCAGAGCUAGGAAUCAAACCCAGCAAUCCUUCCCUCUGCCACACAGCCUCCUCAUCGAGCUGGUGCUAUUUCUACUUCCACCCGAGAGAAAUGGAUGCACACUUUCUCCGUGUGGCUCCUGUGGGCCCUUCCGCGCUGUCCUGCUUCGUGUUCAGUUGAUCUGUGUGAUUCUGCACCUGCCGUGUAUUUUCAGUACCCCAGAGAAAUGGCCAGAGCUCAUCCCAGGCAACUCUUGCCAGUGAUGCAAAAUUACAACCCAUGAGCGAUCAUGCGGAGGGUAUAGAGCGGGCAAAAUUCAGACGUGACUUCCCGCCUUGGGCGCGGCAGCUGCCUGGCCAGCUCCCCCAAGGUGGAGCAGAGCCAGGCUGAAUAGAGGCUGAGUCAGAAGGGAGAGUCCUUGGGCAUGCAGGCUUAAGGACGCAGGCUUGGGAGACGAACCUGGCUGGAUGUUCAGUUUGGGCAUCACUCUCCUUAAUGUACUGUAAACUGUCACUGCGGAAGAGCCGGGUGUGGAUGCCACUUGUGCUCACAGCCCUUGUUUUCCCUCCCCGGCUAGGUCCUUGCUGCGAAAGUGCUCAACCUUGUGCUGCCAAACUUGUCCCUCGGGCCCAUCGACUCCAGCGUGCUCUCUCGGAAUAAGACAGAGGUCGACAUUUAUAACUCAGACCCCCUGAUCUGCCGGGCAGGGCUGAAGGUGUGCUUCGGCAUCCAACUGCUGAAUGCCGUCUCACGGGUGGAGCGCGCCCUCCCCAAGCUGACUGUGCCCUUCCUGCUGCUCCAGGGCUCUGCCGAUCGCCUGUGUGACAGCAAAGGGGCCUACCUGCUCAUGGAGUUAGCCAAGAGCCAGGACAAGACUCUCAAGAUUUAUGAAGGUGCCUACCAUGUUCUCCACAAGGAGCUUCCUGAAGUCACCAACUCCGUCUUCCAUGAAAUAAACAUGUGGGUCUCUCAAAGGACAGCCACGGCAGGAACUGCGUCCCCACCCUGAAUGCAUUGGCCGGUGCCCGGCUCAUGGUCUGGGGGAUGCAGGCAGGGGAAGGGCAGAGAUGGCUUCUCAGAUAUGGCUUGCAAA
rnacentral:sRNA from 1 species